rnacentral:rRNA from 1 species
ACUCCUACGGGAGGCAGCAGUAGGGAAUCUUCGGCAAUGGGGGCGAACCCUGACCGAGCAACGCCGCGUGAGUGAAGAAGGUUUUCGGUAUCGUAAAACUACUGUUGUUAGAGAAGAACGUUAAGUAGAGUGGAAAAUUAACUUAAGUGACGGUAUCUAACCAGAAAGGGACGGGCUAACUACGUGCCAGCAGCCGCGGUAAUACGUAGGUCCCAAGCGUUGUCCGGAUUUUAUUUGGGCGUAAAGCGAGCGCAGGUGGUUUCUUAAGUCUGAUGUAAAAGGCAGUGGCUCAACCAUUGUGUGCAUUGGAAACUGGGAGACUUGAGUGCAGGAGAGGAGAGUGGAAUUCCAUGUGUAGCGGUGAAAUGCGUAGAUAUAUGGAGGAACACCGGAGGCGAAAGCGGCUCUCUGGCCUGUAACUGACACUGAGGCUCGAAAGCGUGGGGAGCAAACAGGAUUAGAUACCCUGGUAGACUGUCA